CCUACGGGUGGCAGCAGUGAGGAAUAUUGGUCAAUGGGCGGGAGCCUGAACCAGCCAAGUCGCGUGAGGGAAGAAUGUCCUAUGGAUUGUAAACCUCUUUUGUCGGGGAGCAAAGUCACCCACGGGUGGGCGUAUGAGAGUACCUGAAGAAAAAGCAUCGGCUAACUCCGUGCCAGCAGCCGCGGUAAUACGGAGGAUGCGAGCGUUAUCCGGAUUUAUUGGGUUUAAAGGGUGCGUAGGCGGACUGUCAAGUCAGCGGUAAAAACGCGGGGCUCAACGCCAUCCAGCCGUUGAAACUGGUGGUCUUGAGUGGGCGAGAAGUAUGCGGAAUGCGUGGUGUAGCGGUGAAAUGCAUAGAUAUCACGCAGAACUCCGAUUGCGAAGGCAGCAUACCGGCGCCCGACUGACGCUGAGGCACGAAAGCGUGGGUAUCGAACAGGAUUAGAUACCCGAGUAGUC
rnacentral:rRNA from 1 species